GACGAACGCUGGCGGCGUGCCUAACACAUGCAAGUCGAGCGGACGAUUCGAAAUUUUGCCUUUGCAUCGUUAGCGGCGGACGGGUGAGUCACACGUGUGCAACCUGCCCUGUAGAAGGGGAUACCACCGCGAGAUCGGUUCUAAUACCCGAUCACACGAAGUGUCGCAUGACGCUUCGUUGAAAGGCGGCGCAUGCUACCGUAACAGGGUGGGCCCGCGGCGCAUUAGCUAGUUGGUGAGGUAACGGCUCACCAAGGCGACGAUGCGUAGCGGACCUGAGAGGGUGAUCGGCCACACUGGGACUGAGACACGGCCCAGACUCCUACGGGAGGCAGCAGUGGGGAAUCUUGCGCAAAGGACGAAAGUCUGACGGAGCAACGCCGCGUGAGCGAAGAAGGCCUUCGGGUCGUAAAGCUCUGUUGGUAGGGAGGAACAAGAGACGUAGUAACCGAUGUUACUAUGACGGUACCUAACGAGAAAGCCACGGCUAACUACGUG
rnacentral:rRNA from 1 species